ACAUGUCCCGGAACCUACGCGGAGCCAGGAUCCGCGACGGUCCGAGCUGCUGAUCGCCGUCCUGAUCCAUUGACUGGGAAAGAGGUUGGAAACAUCACCGCAAAACAUGCUGCAAACCCCGAUUCGGACUCCGCUGGGGCCGAACCAACGCCCCCGCACAGCCCCGACUCCCUCCCCAGCAGCCAGCUCGCCACCGCCCCUCUCGCGACCAGCCAUUUUCCAGGCCCGCGGGAACGCGCGCCGCGCCCCUCCCACGCCCCUCGUCAAGCCCGCAGGCCCCGCCCCCGGCGCGGGGGCCCUCCCCGCCACACACGCCCCUCUCUUCCUCUCCCGCGGGGGACCCCUCCCCUCUUAACCAUUUUGCCGAAAGAACUGGGCUAGGGCUACAACGCGGGGCGCCCGCGAACUUUCCCGGGGCGAGAGAGCGGAACGGACUGCUCUCCUCCGGGCCGGGGCAGGAGCGCGGAGGAAGGCCCCCUCAGUCCGCCUCCGCGGCCUCUCGCCCCCUCCCCCCGCACGUUCCAAAGCACCCGCACUCCGGGGUGGGGGCGAGUGAGGUGGGGAAGCGCGCCCCGCAGACCAGCGGGAGCCCGGCCGCUCACUCCCUCCGACCCUUGCCCGGCUGCAGUCCCGGGCCGGGGCCGCAGGGUCUGCGGCACGGGGCGGGCCAGCGCCUGAACAAAUGCUUGCUGCUUAAAAUGGCUGAUUCCCCUCAGCGGCAGCUGCAGCCGCUGGGUCUGCAGCGGGGGCUGACAAGCGGCCCCCACCCCCACUCUGGGGACCCCAGAGAAGUACUCGCCCACCGCGGGGCCACGGAGGGCCGCCAACCCGGUCUCCAGUCCUCCCAGUCCCGCUCGGCAGACCCUCGGUGCGCUCGGGGAGACUGUCACGGGAGAAAGGGAAGGUGGCACUCCCCCGGACAGGCUCCCCGCCACCGGCUCCCGAGGCCGGCAGCCCCGCGGCUCCUACCUUGAUAUUUGUUGUCCAGCUCUCGCAGCACAGACACGUUCCUCUGCAUGUCGUGGGGCAGCGACUCCACGCACUCAAGGUAGUCCUGCACGUAGCAGGUGAGCAGCCGGCUCCGCUCCCCGGUCAGGAGCGCGGCCGACGAGUACAGUUGCUGCUGCUGCUGCCCUAACAUCCUGCCGAUCCGCGCCGUCGCCGCCGCCUCCGCAUCCAGCAGCCGCACAUGCACCGGCCGCGGCCGCCGCGGGCCCUCAGCUCAGCAGCCCGGCGCCGCGGGGACCCCGCAGCCGCUCGAGAGGGCACGGCCGCGCUCCCCGAUCUCCACUCCCCCCAGAGCAGCCCUCACUCCCCGCCCCCGCAGCACCAGCCCAGGGGCGGGGCGAAACCGGGGCUCCCUCCUUUCUCCCCUCCCGCUCCAGGACCGGAGCAGUGGGGAUCCCCUCGGCGGGGCCGGCGCCGGGGUCCCGGGCGCUGACACUUCCUGUCCCCCUCGGAGUCCCCAGAUGCUACGAGUGCCGUCUCGCAGCCCGGAUCCCCAUGACAAGCCCGUCGCCGCCCGCCUGUCCCCAGUCACCCUCCGUGCCUCACGGAGAGCCUCCCGCUAGCCUGCCCCCGCCCCUCCGCCCGCGGCCGCCUCUGCGCCUGCGCAGCGCUCCCUGCGAAUAAGGCCGGGGCCCGCCCCUACCGCCUACCGGAGGGUUCGCAUUCUCCCGCCUUCGCUCCGCCGCCCGGGCGAUUGGUCUGCCGGCUCUGGGCUAGCGGGGGAGGGUGUGGGGGGCGGCCAAACGGCAGGCCGCGCCCCGCCCCCCUUAAAGGGGAAGCCCGGGGAGCCAGUCUCUGCGCCUCGCGUCUGAAUGGGACCCGGGAGGGGAGGCGGCUCGGUCCUUCGUGCCGUCCUCCCCGCUGGGAGGGGCAGCUCCAGCUCCGCUCGGCUCGCUCCGCCCGGCCACACCGGCUUUUUCCCCAUCAGGCGGUCCGAGUGCGGCUCCUCGCGAGCCUGCAAAGGAGCAGCAGGCGGUUCCUUUUCGGACGACCUGGAGCGAGGCCUGCGGGACUGCGCGCCCCGGCGGGCGGCGUGCGGCUCCCGGCAUGCGCGGCGGCUGCGUUCCCGCCGCCUCCGAGCUCGCCUGGGGCUGCCGCCCGCCUCCUGCCGGGCCCUCGGGCUCGCCCGGCACCGCGGGGCUUGAUCAGGGAGCAGAUAUUUUAGUACAACAUCUUUUCAUCACAGAAAUGAUAUCUUCAGGGAAAAGACUUCGAAAAAGUGCCUGAAGUGACACAACACAUGUUUUCUUCUGGUAUCUGGCUAAAGAAUGAAAUCUGGCAGAAAUAUUUAAUGAAGAGGAAUCUGAACAUAGCAGUUGAGAAAGAAAGAUUGGGAGAAGACUCCAGAUGUCGUAAAGCAAAGAGAGGAUGAGGCACAGGAAGCAGCUCUUAUUAUUUCUGUUGCACUUUGGCUCAGAGAACUCCAAGCAAUUGAUUCUAUCCUGAGGACAUAUUUUUUCAAUUUGAGAUAUAAUUAAUUUGUUUUCCAGUAAAAUAGAUAUUAGUAGAUCUAUGACAUACAGGAAACAAUCGAAAAUAGAGAUAAGUGGUAAUAAUACCUCAUUACUUAAGACAUCUUUUUCAGAAAAUUAUUCUUCAGUGUGUGGUGCAUUGGCUUUCUAGGAAAGAACGGGAGGGAGAACCCUGCUGACAUGAAUAAUGGCCUGGGGGAGAGGGGGAGAGAAGCAAGAGAAAGGAGCAGUUAAGAGGAAAAUGAUGUCAUAUGGAAAGAAGGAAAUAGAUCAGGGCGUCUUUAAGAGCUAAUAUCAAUUGGGUUUAGUGUCUGUAUUUAGAGGAUGGGAGAGAAGAGGUAUCAUCUAGGGUUUUGGCUUGGGCCACAGGUAGAUCUUGUUAAGGCUGUACGAAAUAGAAAAUCCAGGAGGUAACGCAGGUGUGUGGGGGAAAUGAUACAAAUGUAAAUCAUACAAGGAUAUGAACCCUGUAGAUUUUACAACUUUGAGCUCUAUCCUUCUUAGGCCUUCUCUUCUAAGCAGCAUAAACUACUGCUGCCUACAUGUUGCCUGUUCAUAAAGGCUGAGGCAGGGGAGUCGCUUGAACUCGGGAGGCGGAGGUUGCAGUGAGCCGAGAUCAUGCCAUUUCCCUCCAGCCUGGCGACAGAGCAAGACUCCAUCUCAAAAAAAAGAAAAGAGAAGAAAAAAACAAAGAACUUUAUGCACCUUCUGGAAUAACAAAAUGCAAAUGUAAUGUUAUCUACCAGGAUAGAAAUUGGAGGCUAGAAUAUGUUGGGUAGGGUAGAGAGACUAGAGGGAAUGAUUUAGCAAUAAAAUAGGUUUAAAUAUCUUCUCACGUGCCCAGACUUAAUUAGCUUUGUAUUAUUCCUAUUAGUAAGCCAGGAAUUAGUACUAGGUGAUAAGCAAGGAUGUGCAGGGCCUUGUGAGGAAAAGAGUUACUGUAGCAGUUCUGGAUGCUUACCCCUUGCAUGUCUCCAGGGGAACCAUCUUUGACCUUGGCCAACCCCUGGAUUGCAAUCCUUGGAGUGUUCUUUAUGUUAGUGAUGAUGAUUUUGUUGUAUACACCUGGAGCAUUGGACCAUUCCAUACUGGCUCGCCAGGUUGCGUUGCACAAACACCAAGACUGAUAAAUAGGCACCUGGUUUUAUUAUUGGGCCCCUGAGUUUUGGUUGCCGUAGCCAAUUCCAUAGCAGAGUAUGAGUACAUGAACAGCCUCCCACAAAAGCCUUAAACCCUGAGACUCAAGUGGGAUUCUGUGGGCAGAGACAUUCCACACGUGUCUAUAGUUUGCUGAGAGAGAGACAGAAUUCCUGUGUAGCUGCAGACAAAGGACAACAGAAUCCUAUGUUGGACCUCUCUGGACUCCACUGAUACAUCUUUUCCUGUUGCUUUUGCCCUGUAUCCUUUGCUGUCAUUAAUCUGAGCCACGUAUUAAUAUAUAACCUGCUAUUGAGUCUUGUGAGGCCUUCUGGGAUCACCAAAGGAAACAACCAUAUACCUAGUACUGAAGAGAUUUUUUUAAAAGCCCAAUUUGUCCAUCUGAGUCUUGAUAGGAUUCACUGAAAAAGAAUAAUCAACAUAUGUGAGUAUCUGCAGUGUCGAGGUUUAAAUGAAAUCAAGGCUUUGGUCUUUGUCCAUGAGACAUUUAUAGUCUUUAUAGGGACAUGACACAUGUUAGGGAAAUGCUUAUAAGCAUAAGUAUAAAUAAAAGCAAAUUGGCAAUGAUGGCAGAAUUAAAGAGAGAUUAAAAUUGGUAAAAAUCAAGCAAGGCUAAUGAAAGAUGGUAGGUAUUUAAGAAGAGAUAUAGGACUGCAUUAUCAAAUGAUAGCCAUAAUUUUCCCCCAUAUGUACUUUAGCAGUAUGUAAAAACUGUAAAACAAAAAACUUUUUUCUUGGAUUUUAUCUGAUAUAUUCCAGGCUCAACUCAAGUUUGAUGAAUUAUUUGUACGGAAUCUAAAUUUGUACUAAAUCAAAAUUUAAGUGUUUU
rnacentral:lncRNA from 1 species